rnacentral:rRNA from 1 species
GACGAACGCUGGCGGCGUGCUUAACACAUGCAAGUCGAACGGAAAGGCCCUGCUUUUGUGGGGUGCUCGAGUGGCGAACGGGUGAGUAACACGUGAGUAACCUGCCCUUGACUUUGGGAUAACUUCAGGAAACUGGGGCUAAUACCGGAUAGGAGCUCCUGCUGCAUGGUGGGGGUUGGAAAGUUUCGGCGGUUGGGGAUGGACUCGCGGCUUAUCAGCUUGUUGGUGGGGUAGUGGCUUACCAAGGCUUUGACGGGUAGCCGGCCUGAGAGGGUGACCGGCCACAUUGGGACUGGGAUACGGCCCAGACUCCUACGGGAGGCAGCAGUGGGGAAUAUUGCACAAUGGGCGGAAGCCUGAUGCAGCAACGCCGCGUGCGGGAUGACGGCCUUCGGGUUGUAAACCGCUUUCGCCUGUGACGAAGCGUGAGUGACGGUAAUUGGUAAAGAAGCACCGGCUAACUACGUG